rnacentral:rRNA from 1 species
GAUUGCCCUAGUAACGGCGAGUGAAGCGGCAACAGCUCAAAUUUGAAAUCUGGCCCCCAGGCCCGAGUUGUAAUUUGUAGAGGAUGCUUUUGGUGACGCGCUUACCGAGUCCCCUGGAAUGGGGCGCCACAGAGGGUGAGAGCCCCGUAUGGUUUGCCGCCGAGCCUCUGUAAAGCUCCUUCGACGAGUCGAGUAGUUUGGGAAUGCUGCUCUAAAUGGGAGGUAAAUUUCUUCUAAAGCUAAAUACCGGCCAGAGACCGAUAGCGCACAAGUAGAGUGAUCGAAAGAUGAAAAGCACUUUGAAAAGAGGGUUAAAUAGCACGUGAAAUUGUUGAAAGGGAAGCGCUUGUGACCAGACUCGCGCCGGGCGGAUCAUCCAGCGUUCUCGCUGGUGCACUCCGCCCGGCUCGGGCCAGCAUCGGUUUUCGCCGGGGGACAAAAGCCUCGGGAACGUGGCCCCCUUCGGGGGGUGUUAUAGCCCGUGGCAGAAUACCCCGGCGGGGACCGAGGACCGCGCUUCGGCAAGGAUGCUGGCGUAAUGGUCAUCAGCGACCCGUCUUGAAACACGGACCGAGGAGUCAAGCAUUAGUGCGAGUGUUUGGGUGUAAAACCCGCACGCGUAAUGAAAGUGAACGUAGUGAGAGCUUCGGCGCAUCAUCGACCGAUCCUGAAGUUUACGGAUGGAUUUGAGUAGGAGCAUUAACGCUUGUACCCGAAAGAUGGUGAACUAUACUUGAAUAGGGUGAAGCCAGAGGAAACUCUGGUGGAGGCUCGCAGCGGUUCUGACGUGCAAAUCGAUCGUCAAAUUUGAGUAUAGGGGCGAUAGACUAUUCGAACCAUCUAGUAGCUGGUUACCGCCGAGUUUCCCUUCCAG